AGUGAACGCUGGCGGUAGGCCUAACACAUGCAAGUCGAACGGCAGCACAGUAAGAGCUUGCUCUUACGGGUGGCGAGUGGCGGACGGGUGAGGAAUACAUCGGAAUCUACUUUUUCGUGGGGGAUAACGUAGGGAAACUUACGCUAAUACCGCAUACGACCUACGGGUGAAAGCAGGGGAUCUUCGGACCUUGCGCGAUUGAAUGAGCCGAUGUCGGAUUAGCUAGUUGGCGGGGUAAAGGCCCACCAAGGCGACGAUCCGUAGCUGGUCUGAGAGGAUGAUCAGGCACAUUGGAGGUGAGACACGGUCCAGACUCCUACGGGAGGCAGCAGUGGGGAAUAUUGGGCAAUGGGCGAGAGCCUGAUCCAGCCAUACCGCGUGGGUGAAGAAGGCCUUCGGGUUGUAAAACCCUGUUGUUGGGAAAGAAAAGCAGCAGGUUAAUACCCCGCUGUUCUGACGGUACCCAAAGAAUAAGCACCGGCUAACUUCGUG
rnacentral:rRNA from 1 species